rnacentral:rRNA from 1 species
GAUGAACGCUGGCGGCGUGCCUAAUACAUGCAAGUCGAGCGAACAGACGAGGAGCUUGCUCCUCAGACGUUAGCGGCGGACGGGUGAGUAACACGUGGAUAACCUACCUAUAAGACUGGGAUAACUUCGGGAAACCGGAGCUAAUACCGGAUAAUAUAUUGAACCGCAUGGUUCAAUAGUGAAAGACGGUUUUGCUGUCACUUAUAGAUGGAUCCGCACCGCAUUAGCUAGUUGGUAAGGUAACGGCUUACCAAGGCAACGAUGCGUAGCCGACCUGAGAGGGUGAUCGGCCACACUGGAACUGAGACACGGUCCAGACUCCUACGGGAGGCAGCAGUAGGGAAUCUUCCGCAAUGGGCGAAAGCCUGACGGAGCAACGCCGCGUGAGUGAUGAAGGUCUUCGGAUCGUAAAACUCUGUUAUUAGGGAAGAACAAAUGUGUAAGUAACUAUGCACGUCUUGACGGUACCUAAUCAGAAAGCCACGGCUAACUACGUG